UAGCCUGCGAACAGGCUCUCAAGCUGAAUUGAGAGCCUGCAUCGAUGACUAAUGAAUUUGAAUAUCUGCAUCUCAAAUCGUGAUGCGAAAUUCUCAUUGGUCAGAUGCUAUAAUUUAUAUGUUUCCGCUGAGCUCUAUAUAUGUCAACUACUGAAGCACUAUGCAUAAAAAACACAUUAACUGAUCAAAUUGGUCUUGGCCGUCUUAUCUCAAAGCACGAAAUGUUCUGUUUUGAGAAAACAGUGUUUAAAAUAUUUGAACUUUUGCUUGAAUAUCUUAUAUUUCGAAAAACAGUAUAAACUGUACGAUCUAAAUUUAGUUUGCACGGUCUAAAUUUAGUUUGCACGAAAG